rnacentral:rRNA from 2 species
UAGAGUUUGAUCAUGGCUCAGGACGAACGCUGGCGGCGUGCCUAAUACAUGCAAGUCGAACGAACUCUGGUAUUGAUUGGUGCUUGCAUCAUGAUUUACAUUUGAGUGAGUGGCGAACUGGUGAGUAACACGUGGGAAACCUGCCCAGAAGCGGGGGAUAACACCUGGAAACAGAUGCUAAUACCGCAUAACAACUUGGACCGCAUGGUCCGAGUUUGAAAGAUGGCUUCGGCUAUCACUUUUGGAUGGUCCCGCGGCGUAUUAGCUAGAUGGUGGGGUAACGGCUCACCAUGGCAAUGAUACGUAGCCGACCUGAGAGGGUAAUCGGCCACAUUGGGACUGAGACACGGCCCAAACUCCUACGGGAGGCAGCAGUAGGGAAUCUUCCACAAUGGACGAAAGUCUGAUGGAGCAACGCCGCGUGAGUGAAGAAGGGUUUCGGCUCGUAAAACUCUGUUGUUAAAGAAGAACAUAUCUGAGAGUAACUGUUCAGGUAUUGACGGUAUUUAACCAGAAAGCCACGGCUAACUACGUGCCAGCAGCCGCGGUAAUACGUAGGUGGCAAGCGUUGUCCGGAUUUAUUGGGCGUAAAGCGAGCGCAGGCGGUUUUUUAAGUCUGAUGUGAAAGCCUUCGGCUCAACCGAAGAAGUGCAUCGGAAACUGGGAAACUUGAGUGCAGAAGAGGACAGUGGAACUCCAUGUGUAGCGGUGAAAUGCGUAGAUAUAUGGAAGAACACCAGUGGCGAAGGCGGCUGUCUGGUCUGUAACUGACGCUGAGGCUCGAAAGUAUGGGUAGCAAACAGGAUUAGAUACCCUGGUAGUCCAUACCGUAAACGAUGAAUGCUAAGUGUUGGAGGGUUUCCGCCCUUCAGUGCUGCAGCUAACGCAUUAAGCAUUCCGCCUGGGGAGUACGGCCGCAAGGCUGAAACUCAAAGGAAUUGACGGGGGCCCGCACAAGCGGUGGAGCAUGUGGUUUAAUUCGAAAGCUACGCGAAGAACCUUACCAGGUCUUGACAUACUAUGCAAAUCUAAGAGAUUAGACGUUCCCUUCGGGGACAUGGAUACAGGUGGUGCAUGGUUGUCGUCAGCUCGUGUCGUGAGAUGUUGGGUUAAGUCCCGCAACGAGCGCAACCCUUAUUAUCAGUUGCCAGCAUUAAGUUGGGCACUCUGGUGAGACUGCCGGUGACAAACCGGAGGAAGGUGGGGAUGACGUCAAAUCAUCAUGCCCCUUAUGACCUGGGCUACACACGUGCUACAAUGGAUGGUACAACGAGUUGCGAACUCGCGAGAGUAAGCUAAUCUCUUAAAGCCAUUCUCAGUUCGGAUUGUAGGCUGCAACUCGCCUACAUGAAGUCGGAAUCGCUAGUAAUCGCGGAUCAGCAUGCCGCGGUGAAUACGUUCCCGGGCCUUGUACACACCGCCCGUCACACCAUGAGAGUUUGUAACACCCAAAGUCGGUGGGGUAACCUUUUAGGAACCAGCCGCCUAAGGUGGGACAGAUGAUUAGGGUGAAGUCGUAACAAGGUAGCCGUAGGAGAACCUGCGGUUGGAUCACCUCCUUA